AUUGGGUAAUAAAAUGUAUUUUGAGAAUAAGACGGCCUUUUGACCUUUUAGGGUAUUUUUGCACUCAUUAACAAUUCCCACUUUAUUUACCUCUCCCCACUACCCUUCCCAGUUUUGGUAACAAUCAUUCUACUCUCUAUGAGUUCAAUUUAAUUUUUUUCUCACAUAUCAGUGAGAAGAUGUGUCUUUCUGUUCCUGGAUAAUUUCACUUAACAUAAUGACCUGUAAUUCCAACCAUGUUGUUGCAAAUGACAGAAUUUGAUUAUUUUUUAUUGCUGAAUAAUAUUCCAUGGUGUAUAUGUACCAUAUUUUCUUGAUGCAUUCAUCUGUCAAUGAACACUCAGGUUGUUCCACGUCUUGCUAUUUUGAAUAAUGCUGCAAUAAACACAGGAAUGCGAAUACUCUUUUGAUAUAUUUUUCAUGCACGUCCGUGUGAAGAGACUACCAAACAGGCUUUGUGUGGAAUGCCUGGCUGCUGCGGUUCAGGCGUUUGGAAGUUCUUGUGUGCUGGAGAUGUGGCUGGGGUUUGUCUCACAGUGGAGGCAAGGAAUUGCAACUUUUUUGUCACGGUACCAAAUUUCAUGCGCGUCCGUGUGAAGAGACCACCAAACAGGCUUUGUGUGAGCAAUAAAGCUGUUUAUUUCACCUGGGUGCAGGUGGGC
rnacentral:lncRNA from 1 species